GCGCCCGCCGGGGGACCCAAACUCUAGCGUUUUAUAGUGGCAUCUUCUGAGUGGCUAUAAGCAAAAAAAUAAAUCAAAACUUUCAACAACGGAUCUCUUGGUUCUGGCAUCGAUGAAGAACGCAGCGAAAUGCGAUAAGUAAUGUGAAUUGCAGAAUUCAGUGAAUCAUCGAAUCUUUGAACGCACAUUGCGCCCGCCAGUAUUCUGGCGGGCAUGCCUGUUCGAGCGUCAUUUCAACCCUCAAGCCCCCCCGGGGGCUCGGUGUUGGGGACCGGCCCCGCGUCCAGCGGGUCGCCGCCCCCGAAAUGCAGUGGCGACAACGCCGCAGCCUCCUCUGCGUAGUAGCACUUGAAACCUCGCACCGGAGAGCGGCGCUGCCAGCCGUAAAACCCCAACUUCUGAAAGGUUGACCUCGGAUCAGGUAGGAAUACCCGCUGAACUUAAGCAUAUCAAUAAGCGGAGGAA
rnacentral:rRNA from 1 species